CAUGGGGGGGAAAAAGAACUCAUGGAGAAAAAAAAUUCACGUAGCUGCUACACUGGUCUGACUCUGCAAUUUUUUACUUAUUUAAAUAAAUUUUCCUUUAAAAAAAUUCAAAUAGAUUUUUUUUCUAAAAGUAUGCUAUUAAUAUAUUUGUUAAAAAGUCCUUCCCAGGUUAGCCUGAUCUACAAAGUGAGUUCAAGGCCAGCCUGAAGAACGUAGUGAGACCCUGUCUCAAACAGACCAAAAAAAAAAAAAAAAAAGCCUCCUUGCCAAAACUUGGUAUCAGCCAUUCUCCCGCAUUUAGAGAUGGUAUAUGGAGUCAAUCCAGAAUUCAUAUCCAACCUCUGCUGCACAAUUAGCUAGUUGACUCUGAGCAGAGCUCUCCUUAACCUUCCUUCCUCCUAAUAGGACUAACAGUGUUCCCUACCUCCAGGGCUCUUUUGAGAAACCAGGGGAAAACUCAAGUUCUUAGCCCUGGGGCUGGCUCAGGCUAAGUGCUAGUGCGUAAAUGCCAGCUAUUACCUCCACACAAGUAUAUAAUUAAGCUCAUGGCCCUAUAUUUGUAGGAAUACUGAGAAAACGCCUCAUAAAGGGGCCCAGCUGGUUUGAGUUCUACAGCCAGAACUACAGUGUUCAAUUAAAUGAACAUUUUUAAAGGGGCACUAACAUUUUUUUCUAUCACCACAAUGUGCCAGACGCCAUGCUAGACAAAAAAGGAAGUGAAGGAAAACAAGGCCAGAGCUAAAACAUCCUCACAGCUUCUUCAGAGAUAUGAGGAGCAACCAGCCAGCAUCCCUCCAUUGCCCACUCUGCCAAAAAUAGUCAGAAGUAUCAUGUAUGGAGUCACUAAGUUCCUGCAUCUCAUCAGCGGUAAAUUAGGAUGAUCUAAUGGAUCAAAUGGGCCGUAUGGAUAUGAACCCUCUGCUGGCACCCAAAGGGACUAUCAUAAGUAAUUUAAGAUACAAAUCAAGGAAAAAGUAUUUCUCCAGAUAAAAGUUGGCCACGUGUGCGGACAAAGCACUGCUGAGUUCUACCAGGACUGCGAAACGAGGAGACAGCAGUGUGCUAACACCCCCAGGUUAAAUCUUUUAUUUUGCUUUAUUUUGUUUUGUUUUGUUUUGUGAGACAGAA